CAAUACUCCGCCGGCGACCGGCGCACGGGUGCGUAACGCGUAUGCAACCUACCUUUAACAGGGGCAUAACACUGAGAAAUUGGUACUAAUUCCCCAUAACAUUCGAGAAGGCAUCUUCUUGGGUUAAAAACUCCGGUGGUUAAAGAUGGGCAUGCGUUGUAUUAGCUAGUUGGUGGGGUAACGGCCCACCAAACCUUCGAUGGAUAGGGGUUCUGAGAGGAAGGUCCCCCACAUUGGAACUGAGACACGGUCCAA
rnacentral:rRNA from 1 species